rnacentral:rRNA from 2 species
UACGAAGGGGGCUAGCGUUGCUCGGAAUCACUGGGCGUAAAGCGCACGUAGGCGGACUCUUAAGUCGGUGGUGAAAUCCUGGAGCUCAACUCCAGAACUGCCUUCGAUACUGAGAGUCUUGAGUCCGAGAGAGGUGAGUGGAACUGCGAGUGUAGAGGUGAAAUUCGUAGAUAUUCGCAAGAACACCAGUGGCGAAGGCGGCUCACUGGCUCGGUACUGACGCUGAGGUGCGAAAGCGUGGGGAGCAAACAGG